GACUGCGCGAACACAACGGCGUAGAUCAAACACGUCGUCCAUAUAGGGAACAGUCGAACCAGCCCCUUAGUCUCCUCCACACGUUCGAUGCUGCCCAGAAAUCAUUAGUCUUCGCUAAUCUACCACCAGAGGAUACUAGUAUCAACAGGUUUCAGAAUAAUACUCUUACUCGGAUUGCAGUUCGGUAAUGGGAAGUUUUCCCAGCCUCUUUCUUGUCAAUGCGACGAGCGUUUUGCCGAUCCGAGCGAAGGGGUUCUCCUCUUGCAAGAGGCAGAAGCGGUAAGUCCUGGUUCCGAGCACGAACAACACGAGGGCAAACAGCAUAACGAUGCAGGGGAUUCCGAACCCAAGGCCCCAGCCGAUGUUGUCCUGGACGUAGCUGAGGAUGACGAGGGUGACCACGACGCCGCAGCAAAUUCCGAAGUACCACCAGUUGAAGAAGGAGCUCCUGGCGACGCGUUCCUGGGGGUCGUUCUGGUCGAACUGGUCCGCGCCGAAGGCUUGGACGCAGGGCUUGUGGCCUCCUUGGGCGAUUGCCACCAGGUAGAGGGAGACGUAGAACAAGGCCACUUGGAGCGGAGGAGGUGGGCAAGCCGUUCCACAUUUCGCCGGAUGGACGAUACGUAGCAUAGAUGACAGCGUCAGCGUGCCUAGACCCUGUUAAAGAACCAAGAAAAUAGUUACGCUUACAAGCGAAAGAAAGGCCAAGAAAUCAUGAGAAGUGCGUCUGCGUCCAAAUGAAGACAAGCAAGGCAAUCAAUCCGCAUGUCUUUUAUAUUACAAAGAUCUUUCGUUAUAUUAUCAAAAUAUUUUUUUAAUAAUUUUAUAUAAUACGUUGUAUAAUUAUUAUAUAUUCUACAUAUAUAUAAUUCAAUUCAUCGAUUUAACCAAUAACCCACUGAUAGAUUUUAUGUUCGAUAUGAUGACCCAGUUGAAUAGCUUUUUAUUAACUUGGGUCAUCUAUUGAAGAGGUGGGCCGUGGGCUGCUUUGGCGUACAUCCAUACGAAAACACGUGCUGUGUCUCAAAUCAGACAACGACGCGAGUUGUCGUACACCUAUGGUUCGACAAUGUGAUCCGAUGCUUGUAUUUCUUUCACUUUUUUACAAUCAAGCAACCGUUUUAACUCUCAUCAAAUUGAAGAGUAGUGGAUGGAACUGUAAUGACUUAUUUGUUUUAUAUGCCAUCCGUCAUCUCAAGUGAGCUCCGUCAUCCCAUCACAUAUCAGUCAAUAUGAAAUCGACGGAUGCUGCUCGAGCAGAUAUUGUUUUACUAAACAGAGGCUUCGAAUGGUAAUAAAUUAUAUUUAUUAAUAUUAUUUUAUUUUGAAUUAAAUAUAUACUCAUCUAACUUAGUACAUGCAUGAAAGAAGAAUAAGUGGUAUAUCAAUGAAAAAUUUCGAAACAAUUCAGGCGUCUAUCAAGUGAAUUAUGUAAGAUGGACGGAAUUCAUGAGGUUGUAUCAAUUAUUCUUACUGUAUGGUAAUAAAUCAAAGGUUUUGUCGGACAUACACUUCCAUCUGAUAAAUUUAAAUUGGCCUAAAAUUUUAAAUCUAUCUAUUUUGAAAUAGGCGGAAGCACGGAGUAGUCAAUUAAUUUCCAAUCCGAUAGGGUGAAUUUUGAAACGUCCUAACUGUUACCGUUUCUAUUUUUGCACUACUCUCACAAGGAGCGCAUGCGUCCAGGCAUUGCCACUUAGGAGAACCGACGGAUGCUUGACUACUUUUCACCAUGGUCGAGGACUCGCACGACGGAAAGAAGGAUUUCGAAUUUAGGGGUAAGAAGAAGGAGAAGGAUUCCUACGAUUCGCACCUCGAAAAAGGCACAGCGAGGGCAAGAAGAAGAAGAGGGGUAGAAGCACGCACGUACCAGGAUGUAGAGUAGAGUGGCGAUGACGAUGGUUCGGUAGCGCCCCAGGUAGGAAUCGGCGACGAAGGCCCCCAAGAGCGGCAGCAUCGACGCCACGCCGUUCCACGCGUUGAGCGCCGCCGCCGCCAUCGCCGUCGACUCUCCGAGCGGGCCGGUGAGGUAGGAUAUCAGGUUAGAUGAUAUCCCGUAGAAGGCGAAUCUCUCGGCUAUCUCCACCACUGCAUACCUCCGAUCCAGAUCAAACGGAGGACAUAGAUCGAGGAAGAGGAAGGGGAAGAGGGGAAUUAAUACCUAUGAUGAAGAGAGCGGAGGUCCAGCCGCCGGAGGUGGAUCUGUUAGCGGGGCGGCCGCGGUAGUCGACGAUGUCCACCAUGAGAUCUGAGGGGCGGUGACGCAGGGUAAGGAGAGGAUCCGUGUUGCCCAUCGCACCCCUUCGCUUGAUCGCUUUAAUCUCCCUUCCUCGGGCACGCCACCGCUUCCGUUAGCUCUCUCUACGAGAGGCGAUCAAGUAGGCCGAAGUAUGUAAUGAUGUGAUAAACGCAGCGAUGUCAAUGAAUAGUGAGUGUCAGAAAAAUAUCCCUUGCUCUGAGAUUCGUGCACCACGUUCUCACCCGGCCUCUCCGGCAACCAUCCAUCAGCCUGACUUCGUUAAAGCCACCGUACAAGACUAAGUUUCCACUAGUUGAUAACAAAAUUUUAUCGGAUGAAGAAUCAUUUUUCUUAGUGUCAGCUUGCUUAGUUAUUUACUGUAGAUAGAAUAGUAAUAUGAUUGAAUCUGAUUUUUACCAUUUAUCUUUUGAUAAAAAAUAAAAAAGUUUCUCACUCAAUUUUAAAUUUAUUUAUUUUAUCAGAACUAUUAGAAGAAAAUUAAUAAUUCUAAAACAUCAAACUGUGCACCUUGCCAAGCAAAUCGACCCAUUAAAAGCUGAAGUAGCAAACACAAAUAGAAGCCUUCGGGUACAAUAUUUAAGUUCGAUUUUUUUUUUUAUUUUUAUGUCAAUGUGAUCGUCAAAUUAAAAUUAUGUAGGGAUCAAAUUAUUUGAUCAUGUGUCAUAUGUCAUCUUCAAUAGUCAACAAAAAGAUACAUUGACUCCUUGUUAAUUUAGUCUAGCCUUUCGAUGUGAUAUUCAAUCAAUUUUAGCUUUAUUUUUAAAAUUUUUUGGAGCCUAUAAAUACCUCACCCAACUUAGCAGAUGGACUAUCUAAUCUUAAGUUUAUAUAGUUUUGUUGCUCUCUUUAAUUAUAUAUUGAGUAUCUUCUUUCCUCUUGAAUUUAAUUAUGAUAUUAAAUAAGGUAAAAUAUCUCUUGUAAAAGAGUAUGUAUGAAGGUGUUUUCUUAAAUUUGGAAAAGUUAAAAAUUGUAACAAUGAUAAUUAAUCUUCAAUCAUUAGAAAGAUUAUUAGUAAAAGCUAAUGAUGUCGAAGAUGAAUCAAGUCAAAAGAUAGAAUCACUAUAAAUUGAUUUACAUCAUUUUUCUUGAUUUUGAUUUUUGCUUAUGAUCAUUCACUUUAUUUGUAAAUUUUACUCACACUUUAUAUUUGGUUGAUCAUGUUUCUAAUAUAUAUUUUUAAUCAAAUUUUAACAUCAAUUAAAAUUUAUUAUAUUACUAAUUUACCCCCCAACUCCUCCUUUUAGAACUAUGAAGAUCCUAACAAUUGAUGGUUCUAAAUUGACAAAAACUUUUAAAGAAUAGAUGGAUUCUAAAAGGUAAUUAUUUUACUUAAAAGCUAAAACGAUGAAUAUUUUAUAUUAUGCUUUAGAUUGAAAUAAGUUUAAUUAAAUUUCUAUAUAUGAAAUCAUUUUUGAUAUUUGACAAAAAUUACCAAUAAAGGCAUUAAUUUACUUUAGCAUUUUAUGAUAAUACCAAAAGAAUCCAUUGAUAUAUAUUUUCUCAAUUCUUAGAUAUUAUCAGUAGAUUAAAAGCUCUUGGCAUAUCCUCUUUUAAUGAUAAUAUAUUAAAGACAAUUUUUAAGUCAUUUUCAAGGAAUUAAGAUGCAAAGAUAAGAGAUAUAAAUGACCUAAGCGAUCUUUCGCUUGAAGAACUCAAAAGGUUACUAAUAACCUAUGAGAUAAUAUGCAAGAUAUAUGAAAAAAAAUAAAAGAACUUAUCAAUAAAGGAAUGUUCAAAUGAAGAAAGCUUGAUAGGUUGGAGCUGGAAGAGCAAAUUGUUGAAGAAGAAAUGACAAAUUAUACUCUUACUGUGUUCGACAAUGAGGUAACUAAUUCCUUGAAAACUUCUUUAUUGUACGAAGAAUUGCCUAAAGUAUUUCAUGACUUAUAUAAUGAAUUUAAAAAGAUUGAUAAAAAUAUAAUUUAUUGAAAAAGGAUCAUGUUUUACUUAUUAAUGAGUUUGAUAUACUAAAAAAUGAUCAUGACAAAUGUAACUUAAAAUCUUUUAUUCCUUGCACUACAUGUGAAAACUCAAAAUCCUCCUAUCUUGAACUUAAAAAAGGAAAAUAAGUUCUUAAAGUAAGCUCUAGUGCAAACAAAGAAUCUUUUUCAUCGCCAAUAAAAACAUAUUCAAAUCCAACAAGAAUAGGCUCAUCGCAAAGGUCAAAUAGAAAUACGAAAAUAUCUAAUAAGUUUUUAAAGCAAGAUCUAGUACGAACAAAGAACCUUUUUCGCCAACAAAAACAAUAUUCAAAUCAAACAGAAAUAGCAAACAAAUAUAGGUCAAACAGAAAUAGAAAAAGAUGUUAGCACUGAAGAAACACCUCUUGAGUUGCCAACACAAUAUCUUGUAGCAACUUGUGUUGUCGAUGUAGACUUUCCCGCUUCUGCUUUAGCCUCCAUUCUUCUAUAACACAUAGCAAAUGAUUCUGUUUUAGGCCUUAGCAUUGAGGAAGUACAUUCUCAAUCUUACCUUUCUCUCUGUGACUCUGCUAAUGGCAAAUUACCUACCUAUCAAACCUCAGAAACAGUUUAAUCUUUUGAGCUCAACUCCAUUCUUUGGACUACACCUCGCAUCAAAGGUUGUGCGCGCAAGCCAGACAAUAACUUCUCUCCACGACCGACAGAAAACCAAUCACCUAUAAUAAUUACCCUUUCUGUUCAAUGCACCAAUAGACAGCUUAUUCUUUUGCCCAAACUUCCCUUUCAGACAGACCCAAUUGUAGCUUUAGAUCCUAUCCUACUACUGAAGAUUAUCUUGAUCCUGUUGACUCUCAAACUACAAUCAUCGCUUCGAUGCUAGUAUUUUAUUCUGAUUCUUUGAAAUGAUUAAACUCGUUCGUACUCCUUUUAAAGAUUAAUUCAGACUCCAGAAUUCACAUAGUAACUCCCCUAGUGCAACAAAUCAUUGAACAAUUGAACUUAAUGCGCAUGUUCCAGAGGAUAGGAAUGUCACAGUAAAACUUUACUGGAAUUUAAUCUUUUCUCUCACCUCUUAUUACCAAUAUCUAUAUGAAACUCCCUAUUUUGAUUCCUCUUCUCCACGAACCGAAGGAGAUUCUAUUGAUCUCGUCGACUCUCUUGCACUUCAAAGAUACUAUAUGCCUCGGAGGCUUGAUUAUAUAGCAAAUUUUUCUUGAUUCACUUGGCUCAAUCAAGUCUUGGGGAUCUAAUUUUUCAGAUGAUUUUGUAUGAUCGAUACGUACCGAUCCGAUGAUAAAUCGAUACGCGGACCGUAUAUUACCGGGCGGACCGUGUUAUAGUACUACAAUGUUAUACUGUAGUAGUAUUAUAGUGCUACAGUAAGAUCAAGAAAUAUUUAAAAUCUACUAUGAAUAGAAUGAGUUUUUUCUUUUUCUUUCCCUUCCUAGCAUUAAGAGUUUGUCAUUUGGCUUGAAUUUUUCCACCUAAAUAAUUAAUUACAGAAUGGACAAGAAAAAUCCAAAGAACUGUAACAAUGCGUCCAAUUUAUUGAAGCCCCGGAAACUAUAUUACAUGCCGGCAGCAUCAUUCUUACCUUAUAUAAUCGACCUGGAAAAUAAACUACAUGACUGCAGUAUCCUGCUUUUUCUUAUACACGUAAGCUUGCGUAAAGUACACGUAGAGAACUAGCUCGAUCAUGCUGAGCCCCGCAAGAAGCCAAUAGAAGUAAUCGAGAUGAGCACGGUUCAGAUUGUUGGAAAACCAGCUCUCUCCACCUCUGCUCGUCGUUUUGUUGAUCACAGAGAUCAGGAAUCCACUGAUGAAGCUGCCGAUGCCGAAGAUGCUAAUAUAGAGAGCCAGCCCCAGGGUCCUCAAUGCGUCAGGGACUUGGUCGUAGAAGAACUCCUGCAGGCCAACCAUGGUGAAGACAUCUGCAACCCCGAAAAGAACAUACUGAGGCACCAGCCACCACAAGCUCAUCGGAAUCCUAGCGUUGGGCUGAUCCACCAGACCGAACUCUCGAGCAGUUUUGAGCCGCUUCAUCUCCACCAGAGCCGCUAUCACCAUGGAGAUGAGAGACAGAGCCAUCCCGGUGCCAAUCCUCUGCAGCAUGGUGAUGCCGGAAGGAAGCCCGGAGAACUUCCGAGCCACAGGGACGAGGAUACGAUCGUAGAUGGGGAUGGAGACGAUGAUGGAGGCGCUGAUAAAACUCUGCAGCGCCGCCGGCGGCACCUGAAGCUUGGAGCUGAUCCUCCUGUCCAAUGUACCGCCUUGCUUGGUGAACAGAGUUGAGGACUGCGCGAACACAACGGCGUAGAUCAAACACGUCGUCCAUAUGGGGAACAGUCGAAACAGCCCCUUCGUCUCCUCCACACGUUCGACGCUGCCCAGAAAUCAUUAGUCUUCGCUAAUCUACCACCAGAGGAUACUAGUAUCAACAGGUUUCAGAAUAAUACUCUUACUCGGAUUGCAGUUCGGUAAUGGGAAGUUUUCCCAGCCUCUUUCUUGCCAAUGCGACGAGCGUUCUGCCGAUCCGAGCGAAGGGGCUCUCCUCUUGCAAGAGGCAGAAGCGGUAAGUCCUGGUU
rnacentral:lncRNA from 1 species